UCCCUCAUUCCAAUUCCCAUUCUUCCUUGUUAUCAACUUCCUCAAUAUGUACAUACUGUUUCUUCUCAAACUGAAACCGACUGGGUGAGAGUUGCAGAAAAGACAAUGAAAUCAGUUCAGAAACCAUUGCAAAUCCUCUCCCGUGCCUCAAAAUUCACAACCACACCGCUCUCAUUUUCCAUCUCCUCUUCAGUUUCUGAGUCAAUCACUGCACCAAAACCAACCAAACAACCCCAACCUGAAAGCCUAACCCAAGAAGAUCACACAAAGAUCAACCUCCUCCUCCCGCGCCUCUGCCUCUUGAACCACCUCGACACGGCGACCCACCUCGCUAUCACCGCCCUGCUCACAAACUCACCUCUCGAAUCCAUUUCUCUCUCCGUCCUCAUCCACUCCUUCACUUCCCAACCCGACCUGGCCCGACCCAUGUCGCUUUUGACCCGCCUCAGACACAACCCGCCUUCGCAUCCCCACCUUACGCCCAUCGCAACCAUGCUCAUUGCCUCAUACUUUAAGAAAAACAGACCCAGAGAGGCAUUCAAGAUGUUCAGCUGGUUGGUGAGGCCAGGGUCCCAGUGUGUGCUCGAUGAGAGAGUUUGUGAGGUUUUGGUUAAUGGGUUUUGUAGGAAAGGGAUGGUUUGUGAGGGUUUGAAGGUUCUGAGGGCAAUGCUGGGUGCGAAUAUCGUGCCGGGAGGCGGUGUGAGGAAGUGGGUUUAUAGGGGGUUGUUGAGGGAGGCUAGGAUUAAGGAGGCAGUGGAGUUGAAUGAGGCUUUAGGGUGUGUCAGGGUUGGGGCGAAUGGUGAUGAAUCAGAGGGUGUGAAGAAGGUUUUGGCUUUGUUGGAUCACAUGAUUUUCAGUUGUACAGACUAAAGCAGGUCUGUAUCAUACUUGACCUUCUAUGUAGUAGGGAUUAAUCUAGGCCAUCUUCUAUGCUAGUGGUGUGCAAUGGAGUAAGGCGUGGCAUUUUUGUGAAGAUUGUUGCUUCCUGCGUGCAAGACGGUAGCAGGAUUCUUGAGGAGCUCCUGUAUCUGCUGUUGCAGUUGCAUUCCACAGCUGAAGACUUCCGGAGCUGCAAACUCGGUCCUGCAUCUUGCACAGGGUCUGUCCAUUCAUAUUCCAUUUUCAUCUUCUGUUCUAAAAAGCAGUCGAGCAGAAAGCAUUGCCCCUUUGUCCGCUUUAGAAAUGGUGCUUACUGCUUGGUACCAGCAUGGUCGAAGAAUGGCGUUGAGAUGUGAAGAAAUUAUCUCACCUCAUAUUGGUAUAUGCAACAUGGGAAAUUUAAUGACUUGUUAGUUUAGCUCCAUCGCCUGAGAGCCAACAUUUUAGCAAUUCCCACGAACCUAAUACUACAUUUUGAUUUUGCCCCUGAACUUUCAAUUUGUUUUUUAGCCUUGUAAUAUUUUAAAACGUUUCCAUUUGUUCGUAUUGAUAAUCUGUUAAAUUUUCCGUCAA